GGGCGAUUAGCUCAGCGGGAGAGCACGCCCUUCACACGGGCGGGGUCGUAGGUUCAAUCCCUACAUCGCCCACCA
rnacentral:tRNA from 1 species